AUGCGCUCAGUCGACUUCCUGACUCGAGCCAGCUCGGUGCUCCUCCGAGUCACUCCAGUAAAAAACCGCUAUCUCUCGCGUCCCGCCGUCCCUUUCACAUCCGCGCCGAAGAAAGGAGACAGACAGUUUGAUAGUGACCUUAGACAUCGGACAAUCAGUGUGUUAUACGGAUUAUCGAGGAAUCCGUUUAGUAUUGAACUGCGCAGCGGCAAUCAACCAGUGCGAGGGAAGAAGACGGCACUAGGUGUCGUGCGUCAGUACAUCUUGACAAUUAUCAGCUGAUAUCUGUGUUCUGUUCAGUGAUGUCUCGGUAGCCGGCACAGAUGGACGUGCCCAACGGCUCCCCGUCGCUGCGGCUGCGCAACGCCGCGAACGCUCACUCGGACAGCAAGAAGCAUGACCUGAACCAGUGCCCCAGCGUGAUGUCUCCGGAGACCAAGCGGCUGCUCCCGCCCACCACGGAGACCAUCAUGACCAAGCCCUUCCCCAUACGAGGAGAGCGAGCCAACUAUGUAAAUAUCCCGCACGUGAUAGCCAUGGUGGGGCUGCCUGCGCGCGGCAAGACCUACAUAUCCAAGAAACUCUCCAGGUAUCUCAACUGGAUUGGGAUCAAUACUAGAGUAUUCAACCUGGGCGAGUACCGGCGGCACGCGACCACCGCCUACACGUCGCACGAGUUCUUCCGCGCGGACAACAAGGAGGCCAUGGCGAUCCGGCAGCAGUGCGCGCUGGACGCGCUGCACGACGUGUGCGAGUGGCUCGCGCGCGGAGGUGAAGUAGCCGUGUUUGACGCGACGAACUCGACGCAGGAGCGGCGGCGCAUGAUCCGCGACAUCGUGGUGCACAAGAUGGGCUUCAAGCUGUUCUUUGUGGAGUCAGUCUGUGACGACCCUAGGAUCAUAGAGCAGAACAUUAUGGAAGUGAAAGUAAGCAGUCCCGACUACACCAACAUCCAAAACACAGAGAACGUGGUCAACGACUUCCUGCUCCGAAUAGAGCACUACAAGGAGAAAUACGAACCCCUGGAUGAGACCAGCGAGUCGGACUUCAGUUUCAUGAAGAUAUUUGAUACGGGAGAGAAGGUGGUCGUGCACAAGCAUGAAGGGCAUAUACAGAGCCGGAUAGUGUACUAUUUGAUGAAUAUACAUAUUGUGCCGCGGACGAUAUAUUUGACCAGGCACGGCGAAAGCACAUACAACCUAGUAGGCCGGAUCGGCGGAGACAGCGAACUCUCGGCGCGGGGGCGGCGCUACGCGGGCGCGCUGGCCGCCUACAUCGACACGCAGCGCAUCCCGGGCCUCCGCGUGUGGACCUCGUGGAUGAAGCGGGCCAUACAGACGGUGAAGGAUGUUAAAGCGCCGCAGGAACGGUGGAAGGCGCUCAAUGAGAUUGAUGCGGGCAUAUGUGAAGAGAUGACGUACGCGGAAAUACAACAGAAGUACCCUUCAGAUUUCAACGCGCGGGACGGCAACAAAUUUGCGUAUAGGUACCCCCGCGGCGAAUCCUACGAAGACCUGGUAGCUCGCCUGGAACCAGUCAUCAUGGAGCUGGAGCGGCAGGGCAACGUGCUGGUGGUGAGCCACCAGGCCGUCAUGCGGUGCCUGCUGGCCUACUUCCUCGACAAGAGCGCCGAGGAGCUGCCGUACUUACACGUGCCCCUCCACACGGUGAUCAAGCUCACCCCGGUCGCGUACGGGUGCCGCGAGGAGCACAUCACGCUGCCCGUCACCGCCGUCGACACGCACCGCCCCAAGCCGCAGGGCGAAAAAUGCGACGAAAAUAAUGAAAUACAAACAGAUAUUGAAUAGCCAACAAACAAUACGUACGCAUUAUGUGAUGGUGUGCCAUAGAUUAUAGACCAUAGAUAAAUAGAACUUAGAGCAUAGACAAGCAUGGAUUUGAGAUUUAAAUAUAGAAGUAGCUCAUUUCAUGGCAAAAUGAAACAUUUCAUUUAUUAUUGGGACUCCGUGGGAAGUGGUUCUAAAUUUGCGGCCUCAAAAUGCAUUUCUACCACAAGAUUGGCAGUCUCGACGUGCUCAAGUAAUUAAAACACACAUAAAUAAUGGUGGUGGAAUGCUUGUCUAUUUUGUUUUGGUCUAAGUAAGGGUGAUCCCCGCGCCCCCCAUUAGCCAGCCAUCGCCCCCCAUGGAGCUUCUUAACGGAGAAAUAAAUGGUGACAAAAAAGAAGAAAAAAAAGCACAUUAAUCUAAAUUAUGUUUCCUCGCGCUCCGCUCAAGAAUGAGUAGUCCAUUUAACUGGGGCUUGUGUGCACCGAUACAUAAACGGCUUGUGUCAAUCGUCAGUUUGUAAUUAUCACCUAGAGUUACAAUGUUAACAUCGCAAAGGGAAAACGGUAGUUUUUUUUUAAAUUAUAUCAAAAUUCAUUAGGAAGAAGUACACGUCCGUAUCAGUGUCAGAAAUUACAAAUAAUAGUGUUGAAAAGUUAUCGUUGUCGGACUCUACCAAUACAAAAUUAGAUUAAUACAAAACCGCCGUUGAUGUGUCCCGAACGCGAGUCUCAGUGACGCCACAAACUUGUACAGUCUAGCUAAAAAAAAGUAAAGGUUUAGUAACGAAGAAAAUUGAGACUGAGAAAUGAGUGUCACGCUGGUAAAAAAGUUAGGUGUUGCCAUUGUAUGGCAAAUGUAAAAACUACUUAUUACCAAUAUUUUUAAUAAUAAAAAAAAGUUUGUGACUGUUUGGCCAUAAAAUUAUGCUUGGAAAUAGGUACAUUAGAUAGUUUUCAGAAUAAAUUUUAAAUCGUUCGUCAUUCAUCAACAACACAUUGUAUUUUUAUAAUAUUUCCAAAUAAGUACCUAAGUCUACUGUCUCAUUUUCAUCUAUGUGUAUAUUGACAUUAUAAGAUACAAUUUUAUUAUAAUAAAAAUAUACAAUGUAAUAGAUUAUACAAAGUGGCUAUGUAUAUUAAAGUGUAUAUUGUAAUUUGUAAAUUAAUAUUUUAAUUAUAAGUAUAAUUUAAGUGGGUA